GGCAAAGUGGCUCAGUGGUAGAGUACUUGCCUUGCAUGCAUGAGGCCCUGGGUUCGAUUCCUCAGUACCA
rnacentral:tRNA from 1 species